rnacentral:rRNA from 1 species
GGGGGUACAGCCCCUUUAAAAAAGGAUACAACCUCCACCAGGGGAUAACCCCACCCUAACCUAACCCCCGGGGGUCUUAAAGCAGCCACCCUUAAAGAACGGGUCAAAGCUCUACAGACUAAAAAUCUAAAAACACCGUAAAUCCCUGAACCCAUAGCAGGUCAACCUACAACAGUAGAUGAAUCAAUGCUAAAACGAGUAACCAGGACACCAAGUCCCCCAAAGCGCCAACCUAAACACCAUUAACAGCACAACCCCAAUACCAAACCCCCGACUAAACAUUGAGCACACCCUGUCAGACCAACCCAGGAGCGCACACUAGGAUGAUUAAAAUCUGCAGAAGGAACUCGGCAAACCCAAGACCCGACUGUUUACCAAAAACAUAGCCUUCAGCCGAACAAGUAUUGAA